CCCCUCUCAGGGUUGCGCCUGGAGAGCUUCCAGUCCUCUACCAGUCUCGAUUACGGGAGGGAGAGUCACGCAGAGGCCUACCCGUUCCAUUCCUAGCUUGGGCAGUGGCCAGCGAACGGAAGACACUCUGCUACAGGU